rnacentral:rRNA from 1 species
GACUGCUAAUACCGCAUAAGCGCACAGGACUGCAUGGUCCGGUGUGAAAAACUCCGGUGUUAUGAGAUGGACCCGCGUCUGAUUAGCUGGUUGGCGGGGUAACGGCCCACCAAGGCGACGAUCAGUAGCCGACCUGAGAGGGUGGCCGUCCACAUUGGGACUGAGACACGGCCCAAACUCCUACGGGAGGCAGCAGUGGGGAAUAUUGCACAAUGGGGGAAACCCUGAUGCAGCAACGCCGCGUGAGUGAAGAAGUAUUUCGGUAUGUAAAGCUCUAUCAGCAGGGAAGAAAAAAGACGGUACCUGACUAAGAAGCCCCGGCUAACUACGUGCCAGCAGCCGCGGUAAUACGUAGGGGGCAAGCGUUAUCCGGAUUUACUGGGUGUAAAGGGAGCGUAGACGGCAUAGCAAGUCUGAAGUGAAAGCCCGUGGCUCAACCGCGGAACUGCUUUGGAAACUGUUAAGCUGGAGUACUGGAGAGGCAAGCGGAAUUCCUAGUGUAGCGGUGAAAUGCGUAGAUAUUAGGAGGAACACCAGUGGCGAAGGCGGCUUGCUGGACAGAGACUGACGUUGAGGCUCGAAAGCGUGGGGAGCAAACAGGAUUAGAUACCCUGGUAGUCCACGCGGUAAACGAUGA